rnacentral:rRNA from 1 species
UACGGAGGGUGCGAGCGUUGUCCGGAAUCAUUGGGCGUAAAGGGCGCGUAGGUGGCGGGACAAGCGUGCGGUGAAAGCUCGGGGCUCAACCCCGGGUCGGCCGUGCGAACUGUUUUGCUUGAGCACUGUAGAGGCAGGCGGAAUUCCGGGUGUAGCGGUGGAAUGCGUAGAGAUCCGGAAGAACACCGGUGGCGAAGGCGGGUCUCUGGGCCGUAACUGACGCUGAGGAGCGAAAGCGUGGGGAGCGAACAGG